UACGAGGGGGGCGAGCGUUGUUCGGAAUUAUUGGGCGUAAAGGGCGCGUAGGCGGACGGUCAAGUCGGGGGUGAAAUCUUUCAGCUUAACUGGAAAAGUGCCUCCGAUACUGAUCGUCUCGAGGGAGGUAGGGGCAUGUGGAACUUCCGGUGGAGCGGUGAAAUGCGUAGAUAUCAGGAGGAACACCGAUGGCGAAGGCAGAUCUCUGGGCCGUAACUGACGCUGAGGAGCGAAAGCAUGGGGAGCGAACAGG
rnacentral:rRNA from 1 species